rnacentral:rRNA from 1 species
AUUGAACGCUGGCGGCAGGCCUAACACAUGCAAGUCGAGCGAGCGGCGGACGGGUGAGUAAUGUAUGGGGACUGCCCGAUAGAGGGGGAUAACUACUGGAAACGGUGGCUAAUACCGCAUACUAUCGGAUAACCCAUAUGGGAUUAGCUAGUAGGUGGGGUAAAGGGUAACCUAGGCGACGAGCUCUAGCUGGUAUGAGAGGAUGAACAGACACACUGGGUCUGAGACACGGCCCAGACGCCCAGUGAGGAAGCAGUGGGGAAUAGUGCACAAUGGGCGCAAGCCUGAUGCAGCCAUGCCGCGUGUAUGAAGAAGGCCUUAGGGUUGUAAAGUACUUUCAGCGGGGAGGCGUUACCCGCAGAAGAAGCACCGGCUAACUCCGUGCCAGCAGCCGCGGUAAUAC